rnacentral:rRNA from 1 species
CGGAGGGAAACCGAGUCUUAACCGGGCGUUAAGUUGCAGGGUAUAGACCCGAAACCCGGUGAUCUAGCCAUGGGCAGGUUGAAGGUUGGGUAACACUAACUGGAGGACCGAACCGACUAAUGUUGAAAAAUUAGCGGAUGACCUGUGGCUGGGGGUGAAAGGCCAAUCAAACCGGGAGAUAGCUGGUUCUCCCCGAAAGCUAUUUAGGUAGCGCCUCGUGAACUCAUCUCCGGGGGUAGAGCACUGUUUCGGCUAGGGGGCCAUCCCGGCUUACCAACCCGAUGCAAACUGCGAAUACCGGAGAAUGUUAUCACGGGAGACACACGGCGGGUGCUAACGUCCGUCGUGAAGAGGGAAACAACCCAGACCGCCAGCUAAGGUCCCAAAGUCAUGGUUAAGUGGGAAACGAUGUGGGAAGGCCCAGACAGCCAGGAUGUUGGCUUAGAAGCAGCCAUCAUUUAAAGAAAGCGUAAUAGCUCACUGGUCGAGUCGGCCUGCGCGGAAGAUGUAACGGGGCUAAACCAUGCACCGAAGCUGCGGCAGCGACACUGUGUGUUGUUGGGUAGGGGAGCGUUCUGUAAGCCUGUGAAGGUGGCCUGUGAGGGUUGCUGGAGGUAUCAGAAGUGCGAAUGCUGACAUAAGUAACGAUAAAGCGGGUGAAAAGCCCGCUCGCCGGAAGACCAAGGGUUCCUGUCCAACGUUAAUCGGGGCAGGGUGAGUCGACCCCUAAGGCGAGGCCGAAAGGCGUAGUCGAUGGGAAACGGGUUAAUAUUCCCGUACUUGGUGUUACUGCGAAGGGGGGACGGAGAAGGCUAUGUUGGCCGGGCGACGGUUGUCCCGGUUUAAGCGUGUAGGUGUGUGUUCCAGGUAAAUCCGGUUCACUUUAACACUGAGGCGUGAUGACGAGGCACUACGGUGCUGAAGCAACAAAUGCCCUGCUUCCAGGAAAAGCCUCUAAGCAUCAGGUAACACGAAAUCGUACCCCAAACCGACACAGGUGGUCAGGUAGAGAAUACCAAGGCGCUUGAGAGAACUCGGGUGAAGGAACUAGGCAAAAUGGUGCCGUAACUUCGGGAGAAGGCACGCUGACACGUAGGUGAAGUGAUUUACUCAUGGAGCUGAAGUCAGUCGAAGAUACCAGCUGGCUGCAACUGUUUAUUAAAAACACAGCACUGUGCAAACACGAAAGUGGACGUAUACGGUGUGACGCCUGCCCGGUGCCGGAAGGUUAAUUGAUGGGGUCAGCGCAAGCGAAGCUCCUGAUCGAAGCCCCGGUAAACGGCGGCCGUAACUAUAACGGUCCUAAGGUAGCGAAAUUCCUUGUCGGGUAAGUUCCGACCUGCACGAAUGGCGUAAUGAUGGCCAGGCUGUCUCCACCCGAGACUCAGUGAAAUUGAACUCGCUGUGAAGAUGCAGUGUACCCGCGGCAAGACGGAAAGACCCCGUGAACCUUUACUAUAGCUUGACACUGAACAUUGAGCCUUGAUGUGUAGGAUAGGUGGGAGGCUUUGAAGUGUGGACGCCAGUCUGCAUGGAGCCGACCUUGAAAUACCACCCUUUAAUGUUUGAUGUUCUAACGUGGACCCGUUACCCGGGUUGCGGACAGUGUCUGGUGGGUAGUUUGACUGGGGCGGUCUCCUCCUAAAGAGUAACGGAGGAGCACGAAGGUUGGCUAAUCCUGGUCGGACAUCAGGAGGUUAGUGCAAUGGCAUAAGCCAGCUUGACUGCGAGCGUGACGGCGCGAGCAGGUGCGAAAGCAGGUCAUAGUGAUCCGGUGGUUCUGAAUGGAAGGGCCAUCGCUCAACGGAUAAAAGGUACUCCGGGGAUAACAGGCUGAUACCGCCCAAGAGUUCAUAUCGACGGCGGUGUUUGGCACCUCGAUGUCGGCUCAUCACAUCCUGGGGCUGAAGUAGGUCCCAAGGGUAUGGCUGUUCGCCAUUUAAAGUGGUACGCGAGCUGGGUUUAGAACGUCGUGAGACAGUUCGGUCCCUAUCUGCCGUGGGCGCUGGAGAACUGAGGGGGGCUGCUCCUAGUACGAGAGGACCGGAGUGGACGCAUCACUGGUGUUCGGGUUGUCAUGCCAAUGGCACUGCCCGGUAGCUAAAUGCGGAAGAGAUAAGUGCUGAAAGCAUCUAAGCACGAAACUUGCCCCGA